rnacentral:rRNA from 1 species
GAUGAACGCUGGCGGCGUGCCUAAUACAUGCAAGUCGAGCGAACAGACGGGGAGCCUGCUCCUUCGACGUUAGCGGCGGACGGGUGAGUAACACGUAGGUAACCUACCUAUAAGACUGGGAUAACUUCGGGAAACCGGGGCUAAUACUGGAUAAUAUUUCGAACCGCAUGGUUCGAUAGUGAAAGAUGGCUUUGCUAUCACUUAUAGAUGGACCUGCGCCGUAUUAGCUAGUUGGUAAGGUAACGGCUUACCAAGGCAACGAUGCGUAGCCGACCUGAGAGGGUGAUCGGCCACACUGGAACUGAGACACGGUCCAGACUCCUACGGGAGGCAGCAGUAGGGAAUCUUCCGCAAUGGGCGAAAGCCUGACGGAGCAACGCCGCGUGAGUGAUGAAGGUCUUCGGAUCGUAAAACUCUGUUAUUAGGGAAGAACAAACGUGUAAGUAACUGUGCACGUCUUGACGGUACCUAAUCAGAAAGCCACGGCUAACUACGUG